AACGCACCUUGCGCUCCCUGGUAUUCCGGGGAGCACGCCUGUUCGAGUGUCGUGAAGUCCUCAAGCCGGGAUGGUUUUUGUAAUCGUCUCUAGGCUUGGAUUUGGACUUUGCCGUGAUGGGUCUGCUUGCAGACUGCUUAUCACGGCUGGUCUUAAAAGCAUUAGCUGGUCCAUGUGUACGAAUGGUUCUUACUCGGCGUGAUAAGUUUUCUGAUCGCCGAGGACAUCUUGCAUCUGAUGUGAGGUGGCCAUGUGUGCUUUGGUCUGCUUCUAGUCUUUGCCGCAACGGCAAACUCAUUUUCAAGCUUUGACCUCGAAUCAGGUGGGACUACCCGCUGAACUUAA
rnacentral:rRNA from 1 species